UACAUUACCAGAUGUGGAUAAUUUGGUAAAUACCAGACGUUACAUGAAUAGCACACCACACGUAUUGAGGGAGGAGCAUCCAGCUAUUUUUUGACAAUACAAAUAAUAAUAAAAAAAUGAAAUAUUGAAAUAAAAUAACAGAAGAUAGACCGACCAAGGAAUUUAUCAUGAUAAGCAAUUCAAUACCACCGCUUAAAUCAUUCUGGAAAACUGAUCGGGUCAAGUCAAAAGACAAUAUGGGCCAAGGCCUAUUUCUUUGCAUUUUUUAUUAUUAUUUAGAGGCCCAGGCCCAUCAUCUCCUUCAUCAUCAUCCCUUUGUGGAGGUGGCAAUGCAUUCUUGCUUCAAAGUGUUUUUCUGUAUAUUACUGAUAAAUGCAUGCUUGCUGCAAAAUCCAUGGCUGAAAGAAUCCCUUUGGUCGUUUCUUCAAAGCCAACACUUUAAGCUCAUCCCCGUUUCUAUGUAAUAAACCCUUUUACCUCUCCUCUGUUUCUUCACACCCACAAUCUCCUCUUCUCUGGCUUCUAUCUUGAGCUCGAUGGCUAUGGAUUCCACAUCUUCACUCACCAAAAUCCCUGUUUUAGCCCUUUCUAUAUCUGUCCUCCUCUGUCUUGCUCCUGCCCAUGAUUUUUCCAUCGCCGGGUACUCAGCCCGGGCAUUUGGCUUCCACUGAUAAGCUCUUGGAUCAAUCAGAUCGUGACGGGGAAUCUGACUGAGUUGUCUGAUCAAGAACUGGUGGACUGUGACAGAACAUUUAACAAUGGCUGCAGUGGAGUUCUCAUGGACUAUGCGUUCGAAUUACAUAAUCUCCAGCGGUGGUAGCCUCCACAGAGAAGACGAUUACCCUUAUCUCAUGGAAGAAGGACGACAAGAAGAUUCAGAUGUUCCAAAAGAAGCACGAGGAAAGAUGUUCUUGAACGUCUUUACACUUCUUCUGUUCAUGUCAUACACUUCAUUCAAAGGACAUCAGAUGUAUUGAUGGAUGAAAUGCCACAUUUCAAUUAUAUGGUCAAAGUAAUCUCA